CAUCACCUGUCGAAGCGUGCCCGACGAAGACGGAAGGUUGAAGCAAAAGUGCGAACGUGUACGCAGGAAAUUCCGACAGUGUCCAGGAAGGCCGCGAGAGGAAGUCGAAGUAGUGACGGAAGAAACCACCGACGAAGGAGGUGCGAAUAUGCAGCUGCCAUUCGGCGGUU
rnacentral:RNase_MRP_RNA from 1 species